rnacentral:rRNA from 1 species
UACGGAGGAUCCAAGCGUUAUCCGGAUUUAUUGGGUUUAAAGGGUGCGUAGGCGGAAUUGUAAGUCAGUGGUGAAAGCCCUUCGCUUAACGAAGGAACUGCCAUUGAUACUGCAAAUCUUGAGUACAUUUGAUGUGGGCGGAAUGUGUCAUGUAGCGGUGAAAUGCUUAGAUAUGACACAGAACACCGAUUGCGAAGGCAGCUCACAAAACUGUAAACUGACG